rnacentral:rRNA from 1 species
CGCGGCCUAUCAGCUUGUUGGUGAGGUAAUGGCUCACCAAGGCUUCGACGGGUAGCCGGCCUGAGAGGGCGACCGGCCACACUGGGACUGAGAUACGGCCCAGACUCCUACGGGAGGCAGCAGUGGGGAAUAUUGCACAAUGGGCGCAAGCCUGAUGCAGCAACGCCGCGUGCGGGAUGACGGCCUUCGGGUUGUAAACCGCUUUCAGUAGGGACGAAGCUAACGUGACGGUACCUACAGAAGAAGGACCGGCUAACUACGUGCCAGCAGCCGCGGUGAUACGUAGGGUCCGAGCGUUGUCCGGAAUUAUUGGGCGUAAAGGGCUUGUAGGCGGUCCGUCGCGUCAGGAGUGAAAACUCGGGGCUUAACCCCGAGCCUGCUUUUGAUACGGGCGGACUAGAGGGAUGCAGGGGAGAACGGAAUUCCUGGUGGAGCGGUGGAAUGCGCAGAUAUCAGGAGGAACACCGGUGGCGAAGGCGGUUCUCUGGGCAUCACCUGACGCUGAGAAGCGAAAGCGUGGGGAGCAAACAGGCUUAGAUACCCCGGUAGUCCACGCCGUAAACGGUGGGCACUAGGUGUGGGGGACAUUCCACGUUCUCCGUGCCGAAGCUAACGCAUUAAGUGCCCCGCCUGGGGAGUACGG